rnacentral:rRNA from 1 species
CCUACGGGCGGCAGCAGUGAGGAAUAUUGGUCAAUGGGCGUAAGCCUGAACCAGCCAAGUCGCGUGAGGGAUGAAGGUUCUAUGGAUCGUAAACCUCUUUUAUAAGGGAAUAAAGUGUGGGACGUGUCCUAUUUUGUAAGUACCUUAUGAAUAAGGAUCGGCUAACUCCGUGCCAGCAGCCGCGAUAAUACGGAGGAUCCGAGCGUUAUCCGGAUUUAUUGGGUUUAAAGGGUGCGUAGGCGGCAUUUUAAGUCAGCGGUGAAAGUCUGUGGCUCAACCAUAGAAUUGCCGUUGAAACUGGUGGUCUUGAGUAUGUUAGAGGCAGGCGGAAUGCGUGGUGUAGCGGUGAAAUGCUUAGAUAUCACGCAGAACCCCGAUUGCGAAGGCAGCCUGCCAAGCCAUGACUGACGCUGAUGCACGAAAGCGUGGGGAUCAAACAGGAUUAGAUACCCUUGUAGUC